GACGAACGCUGGCGGCGUGCCUAAUACAUGCAAGUAGGACGCAGUUGCGAACGGGUGAGUAACGCGUAGGUAACUACCUAUUAGUGGGGGAUAACUAUUGGAAACGAUAGCUAAUACCGCAUACUAGUAGAUGGACCUGCGUUGUAUUAGCUAGUAGGUAGGGUAAUGGCCUACCUAGGCAACGAUACAUAGCCGACCUGUGAGGGUGUUCGGCCACACCGGGACAGGGGCACGGGUCAGAGCCCUACGGGAGGCAGCAGUAGGGAAUCUUCGGCAAUGGGGGGAAACCUGACCGAGCAACGCCGAGUGAGUGUAGAAGGUUUUCGGAUCGUAAAGCUCUGUUGUUAAGGCAGCGGUACUUACCCAGAAAGUGACGGCUAACUACGUGCCGGCAGCCGCGGUAAUAC
rnacentral:rRNA from 1 species